rnacentral:rRNA from 1 species
UACGGAGGGGGCGAGCGUUAUUCGGAAUUAUUGGGCGUAAAGGGCGCGUAGGCGGCCUGGCAAGUCAAAGGUGAAAUCCCUCGGCUCAACUGAGGAACUGCCUUUGAAACUGCUUGGCUUGAGGCCGGGAGGGGGUAGCGGAAUUCCCAGUGUAGCGGUGAAAUGCGUAGAUAUUGGGAGGAACACCAGUGGCGAAGGCGGCUACCUGGACCGGUUCUGACGCUGAUGCGCGAAAGCGUGGGUAGCAAACAGG